AUACGUAGGUGACAAGCGUUAUCCGGAUUUACUGGGCGUAAAGGGCGUGUAGGCGGUCUUGCAAGUCAGAAGUGAAAUUCCUGAGCUCAACUCGGGCGCUGCUUCUGAAACUGCAGGACUUGAGUGCUGGAGGGGAUAGCGGAAUUCCUAGUGGAGCGGUAAAAUGCGCAGAUAUUAGGAAGAACACCGGUGGCGAAGGCGGCUAUCUGGACAGUAACGGACGCUGAGGCGCGAAAGCGUGGGGAGAAAACAGGAUUAAAUGCCCUGGUAGUCCACGCCGUAAACGAUGAAUACUAGGUGGAGGGGGUAUCGACCCCCUCUGUGCCGCAGGUAACACAAUAAGUAGUCCGCCUGGGGAGUACGGCCGCAAGGUUGAAACUCAAAUGAAUUGACGGGG
rnacentral:rRNA from 1 species